rnacentral:lncRNA from 1 species
GAGUCUUGGACUUUUUCUUCCAGUCUGACCAAUACACAUUUAGAGGCACAAUAUUGAAUGCUCCUUCCUAAACCGAACCCUUGAAAAGAGGGUGGGUGGGGGGCUUUGAGCACCCUCCCAGGCAGCAGUUAGUCCACUGGACUUUCCAGCGGGUGGCAGAAGAGAGGCUUGUGGUGAGACCACGUUUGAUGUGGUCUGCCACAUUAUGUUCCAUGUUUCCCCAGAAAAAGAUCUACCUAAGAGUGAAAAUUCUCACUGGAAAGUACUUGCGCUGUUCUUUUCUUUUUGGCUCCUGUAGAAUCAACCACUGACCUACCAGAAUCCACCAUGGACCUGGAGUCACCCACAGAUGUGUACCUGGAGAACACCCAGGCUUUCCCAUGGACAUCCUCACAGCAUGUGUCAGGUUCCAUAAAGAACAAUUUGGAAUUGCAUGGCAUUUCUAUGAUACAGACUCAAAAGUCACAAAGUAUCACUUCUGAUAUAAUCUACUGGUCAUGGCAGUAAUGAAGUUCUACCCAAGCUCCAAGGAGGUAAAAGCAGACCUCAGCCCUUCAAGAGAGGAGAUCAAGGUACCAUUGUAAGAAGAAAACAUUGGAUGAAUGAUUCUGUCGUGAUCAUAUUUUAAAAACAAUUUCCAAGAUGAUAAAUAUGCAUACAUGUGGACUUCAAAAUCAAUGAAAUACAGUAAUAAUUCGUGGUUCUUAAGCAGAGGAGACAACAUCUUUUGAAAGAGAUAGGUACAGGUUUAUGGGUUUAAUAAAUGAGUCAUUGAUUAAUCACUUUAAUGAAAUUCCUAUCAUCUUACCGACUUUGUACAUGAUCAGAAAAAUAUGAGGGUGACAUACAUUGCUUUGUAUUUCUUAUGAGAUAAGUUGUGAUUGUACUUCUCUAUGAACUGAUAGGAUGUUUAACUGAAAGCUGAAGAAUACACUCUGACAUUGUGAUAACAGUGGUGUGAUGAGGCUACAGACACUUGACCUUAGGCUGAUGACCAAUGCCUUCUAUGGCCCCAAUCACUGAGGGUGGAACACCAGCUCUGGGGCCAGGACACAGGUGACAUCUUCAUGCAGAAGACUGAAAGUUAUAGAAAUGAAUGAAUGAAGAGCAAGUAACCACUGGAGCACAGUAGGCAAGAACUCAGAUCUGAGAACUGACUGCCUUCCAUUCCACUUACUACCUUUAUAUGAACCUAGACACGCACCUAAAUUACCUCAUCUACAAAAUUAAGAUAAUAAUAAUCAUCACACCUCCCUAAUAUGAUGGUUCUGAACAUUGAAUAUCAUAUAGUAAAUGCUGAAGAAAUGUUUUCUAUUAUAAUCAGCCUUUGCUAGGAUAAAUGGAAAGAAUAUAAAUAUGCUCAAAUAAUUGUGAAAUAUAUAUAUAUUAGAGAGCAUCAACAUCAAAUAAAAAUGUAAAGAUGAAGAUCCUACUAGUGUAACCAAAGUUUUUAGAAAAGUCAAAGCAACGCUGAAUUCUCAAACACAACUGUGUUAUCAGAAUGGUUGGUUUACCCAAUGAACACAGUAAGUUGAGGAGGAUUUGGCUUUCUGUUCCAUUCACAGAGCUUCCGCGUCUUCAAAAAGAGGGAGAUGUGUGGGUGUGAGAGAGCUGAGGCAUGAAGUUUGGAUCUUAUUACAAGUGCAGAAGAAAAUCCUAAGAGCAUUUGAAGCACAAAAGUGUUAUGAUCUAAUUCCUACUUUUCAAUGAUCACUGUGACUGAUGUGAGGGGAAUGGAUAUGGGAUGUGCUGGGGUAGGAAUGUUACCAAGAGCAGCUGAGGAUAUUAAACUUCUUCAGGAGAGAGCAUCAUGGCCUGAACUAUCACCUUCUAGUAAAGAUUAUGCAAGUUGUUGUAUUUGGGAUGAGUGUUGAAAGUGGAAGCAACUCGAUUUGCUAAAGGGCAGUGCCUGAAGGGAGUGAGGAGUUUUGAACCACUGAACACUUGACUUAGAAAAGGUUGGGAGCUGUUAUGAGAGCUGAACUGUGUUCCUAAAAUUUCAUAUGUUGAAGACUGUUCCUUCUGGACCUGAGAAUAUGAACAUGGAUAUUAGAAGGCAAGUGGAGUGCUGAGGGCUGCCACUCACAUAUAGGUGCCCAAGCUCCUGCUGCAGUCCUGCUUCUCUCUUCCACCCACAUUCAGUCACAGACGGUAUCCCUUUCCACAUUUCCAUCACCUCUUUUUUGUUUUGUCUGAUGUCAGCCAGGAAGAAUCUCCCUCCCUAAUAGCAGGAAAUCCACAAGGAGCACCCCCACAAGGAGGCAACAAACCUCAAGGUCCCCCAUCUCCUCCAGGAAAGCCACAAGGACCACCCCCACAAGGAGGCAACCAGCCUCAAGGUCCCCCACCUCCUCCAGGAAAGCCACAAGGACCACCCCCACAAGGAGGCAACAAACCUCAAGGUCCCCCACCUCCAGGAAAGCCACAAGGACCACCCCCACAAGGAGACAAGUCCCGAAGUCCCCGAUCUCCUCCAGGAAAGCCACAAGGACCACCCCCACAAGGAGGCAACCAGCCUCAAGGUCCUCCACCUCCUCCAGGAAAGCCACAAGGACCACCCCCACAAGGAGGCAACAAACCUCAAGGUCCCCCACCUCCAGGAAAGCCACAAGGACCACCCCCACAAGGAGACAACAAGUCCCGAAGUUCUCGAUCUCCUCCAGGAAAGCCACAAGGACCACCCCCACAAGGAGGCAACCAGCCCCAAGGUCCCCCACCUCCUCCAGGAAAGCCACAAGGACCACCCCCACAAGGAGGCAACAAACCUCAAGGUCCCCCACCUCCAGGAAAGCCACAAGGACCACCCCCACAAGGAGACAACAAGUCCCAAAGUGCCCGAUCUCCUCCAGGAAAGCCACAAGGACCACCCCCACAAGGAGGCAACCAGCCCCAAGGUCCCCCACCUCCUCCAGGAAAGCCACAAGGACCACCCCCACAAGGAGGCAACAAACCUCAAGGUCCCCCACCUCCAGGAAAGCCACAAGGACCACCCCCACAAGGAGGCAGCAAGUCCCGAAGUUCUCGAUCUCCUCCAGGAAAGCCACAAGGACCACCCCCACAAGGAGGCAACCAGCCUCAAGGUCCCCCACCUCCUCCAGGAAAGCCACAAGGACCACCCCCACAAGGAGGCAACAAACCUCAAGGUCCCCCACCUCCAGGAAAGCCACAAGGACCACCCCCACAAGGAGGCAGCAAGUCCCGAAGUGCCCGAUCUCCUCCAGGAAAGCCACAAGGACCACCCCAACAAGAAGGCAACAAUCCUCAAGGUCCCCCACCUCCAGCAGGAGGCAAUCCCCAGCAGCCUCAGGCACCUCCUGCUGGACAGCCCCAGGGACCACCACGCCCUCCUCAAGGGGGCAGACCUUCCAGACCUCCCCAGUGACAGCCUCCCCAGUCAUCUAGGAUUCAAUGACAGGAAGUGAAUAAGAAGAUGAGAGUGAUUCAAAUGAUUCAAAUGCCAUGACAUUGGAAAAAGGUCAUCAUAGCUCUAACUUCUGUAUACCAAUAAAAUAAUUAGCUUGCAAUUUCUGAUUGUGGUGUCUGUUUCUCAAUAUUUGUGAAUGUGGGAUCUGAGGACCAAGAGAAGACAUUACACGAAUAUCUAGGAACCCUUUUCCUUGAUGCUCCGGGAAGUUUCCCUCCUCCUUAAUCCUAAUUUAGCCAGCUGCCAUGCAAAAAGGUUUUACUGUUUCUCUACUUCCCUGACUUCUAUUUUUUUUCCUCCA